GCUGACACAUCCCGGCCAAUCUCCAGCAGACCCUCCCUCCCAGACCCUGCCACCUCCUGGACAGCAUCCAUGUUGAAGCUGCCUUCAACAUGGAUGCUGUCCAGGAGGUGGGAGGGUCUGGGAGGGAGGGUCUGCUGGAGAUUGGCCGGGAUGUGUCAG